CCAUGUCCAGCCUGUCUAGUCUUUUCUUUUUUUAAUUUCUUUCUUUUUUUCGUUCUUUCUUUCUUUCUUUCUUUUUUUUUUUUUUUGAGAUAGGAUGUUGCUCUGUUGCCCAGGCUGGAGUGUGGUGGUGUGCGGUCAUGGUUCACUGCAGCCUGGCUGGAACUCCUGGGCUCAAGCCAUCCUCCAGCCUCAACCUCCCAAAGCACUGGGAUUACAGGUGUGAACCACCACGCCCAGCCCAUCCAGGGUCUGCAACAUUAGAACAUUUGAAGGAACUGGUUGAGCGAAGGUGGACCUUGGCAGGAAGGAGCGGGAUGCGGGAUGGGGUUGGGAGGCUCCCAGGCAGGGGCAGAGAAGGAGCCAGGCUGCCGGUUGUGCUGACUUGGACCUGGGACUAAGGCAGAAAUUCGAGGGAUGAUGGGACUAAGACAGAAAGCCCGAGAUGAGGCAAUGGUGGGAAGAGCGUUCAGCAGAGGUGGACGGCAGAGGGGUCAGGGUCGGCACAGGGAGGGGCAACACCUCACCGCAGAGGGUGCGGUCCCGCCAGCCAGCCAGGGCAGCGCCCGCCUCCUGGCAGAGGAUGGCGUACCCACUGAGGACCUGGCAACGCAGCUCCUCUUGCUCUCUUGGGUCCUGAGCAGAGCACAGAUCCAGCACGCAGUGCCUGGUGCAGAGAGGGGGCAGGAAGGGCACAGUCAGUUUGGGGAGGGGAGGAGACCCACCCCUGCAGAAGAGAGCCUGGAACCCCAAACAGAAAGACAUCAGUCGGUGUCCAGUGAGGGUCACAAGGAAAUUAGGCCACAGGGAGAACGGAGGAGUGAACCACACAGAGCUUGGGUCAGGAAGCGGGCAGGAGGCCCCAGGGAAAGACCAGAGCAGGCACCUGGGCCAUUCCCACAAGUCCUGGGCCCAUGACUCACUCUUGGAAGGGCUCUGGGGCCACCGUCUGGUGACAGGCAGCAAAGGGGCCCUGGGGGUCUGCCAGCACCCUACAGGCCUGGGUGCUGUUGCUCGCCAGCUGCUCCGGGCUACAUUCGGACACUUGGAGGCCCGUGCGGAGGCCCAGCUCCGCCCCUUGUCCCUCCUCCUCCGCUGGUAUAGCCCUGCAGUAGAGACAGCCACGGGGUCAGGUGAGGCCCCAAGGAAGGUGAAGUGGGGGAAGAAGAAGAACUGAUUAGCCGGGCAUGGUGGUGGCUGCCUGGAGUCCCAGCUACCCGGGAGGCUGAGGCAGGAGGAUGACUUGAGCCCAGGAGGUGGAAACUGCAGUGAGCCAAGAUCACGCCACUGCACUCCAGCCUGGGUAACAGAGCACGACCCGGUCUCUAAAAAAUAUAUUUUAAAAAAAGAAAUAAGAACUACUGGGGCUGGGUGUGGUGGCUCACACCUGUAAUCCCAGCACUUUGGGAGGCCUAGGUGGGCAGAUCCCUUGAGGUCAGGAGUUCGAGACCAGUAUGGCCAACAUGGUGAAACCCUGUCUCUACUAAAAAUACGAACAUUAGCUGAGCGUGGUGGCCCAUGCCUGUAGUCCCAGCUACUUGGGAGGCUGAGGCACGAGAAUCACUUGAAACUGGGAGGCAGAGGUUGCAGUGAAGGAGGAGGAAAGAAGGAAGAAGGAAGAAGGAAAAAUAACUGGGAAGGCAGGCUGAGGGCAGGGCAGGGGCACAGAGAGAGAUUUCCAUUGAGCGGGAGCCCCCAGAGUCAGAUGAGAGGGAAUGACGGAAUUGGGAGGAUCCAGGCCUAUCUGCACCCUCUCCCUGGAGUUUCAUCCUCUCCUGAGGACAGGAGGGCUAGCGGCCACCGUGCACAGACAUUGUUGUUCACCUCCCCCGCCUCAUCCCUUCCAGGCCGUGCACCUGGGGAAGCGCAGGAGUGCGUCCUCGGUCUUCACCUCCCAGCUGUUGCCAAAGGUGUUGAGGUUCUGGGUCAGGGCGCCACUGGGCAGCAUCAUGUCAUUCUUGCGGUUCUUGUCGUAGUUUCCGCACAGGCCACUCACAAGCC
rnacentral:lncRNA from 1 species